AACCAGAUUGGGGAGCCGUAGAGAAAUCGAGUCCGAAUAGGGCGUUCAGUCGCUGGGUGUAGACCCGAAACCAAGUGAUCUAUCCAUGGCCAGGUUGAAGGUGCGGUAACACGCACUGGAGGACCGAACCCACUAAUGUUGAAAAAUUAGGGGAUGAGCUGUGGAUAGGGGUGAAAGGCUAAACAAACUUGGAAAUAGCUGGUUCUCUCCGAAAACUAUUUAGGUAGUGCCUCAAGUAUUACCGUCGGGGGUAGAGCACUGUUAUGGCUAGGGGGUCAUCGCGACUUACCAAACCAUUGCAAACUCCGAAUACCGUUGAGUGCGAGCUUGGGAGACAGACGUCGGGUGCUAACGUCCGGCGUCAAGAGGGAAACAACCCAGACCGCCAGCUAAGGUCCCAAAGAUUGGCUAAGUGGAAAACGAAGUGGGAAGGCUAAAACAGUCAGGAUGUUGGCUUAGAAGCAGCCAUCAUUUAAAGAAAGCGUAAUAGCUCACUGAUCGAGUCGUCCUGCGCGGAAGAUGUAACGGGGCUAAGCCAGUCACCGAAGCUGCGGAUAUGCGUAAGCAUAUGGUAGGAGAGCGUUCUGUAAGCCUGCGAAGGUGUCUUGUAAAGGAUGCUGGAGGUAUCAGAAGUGCGAAUGCUGACAUGAGUAGCGAUAAUGGGGGUGAAAAGCCCCCACGCCGUAAGCCCAAGGUUUCCUGUUCAACGUUCAUCGGAGCAGGGUGAGUCGGCCCCUAAGGCGAGGCAGAGAUGCGUAGCUGAUGGGAAGCAGGUUAAUAUUCCUGCACCGUCGUAUGAUGCGAUGGGGGGACGGAUCGCGGAAGGUUGUCCAACUGUUGGAAUAGUUGGUUUCUGGUUCAGAGAAGGCACUUAGGCAAAUCCGGGUGCGUAAUUCAAGGGAUCGGGACGAGCGCUCAUUGAGCGCGUAGCAAUCGGAAGUGGUUCCAAGAAAAGCCUCUAAGCUUCAGUCAUACGAGACCGUACCGCAAACCGACACAGGUGGGCGAGAUGAGUAUUCUAAGGCGCUUGAGAGAACUCGGGAGAAGGAACUCGGCAAAUUGGUACCGUAACUUCGGGAUAAGGUACGCCCCUGUAGCUUGACUGGCCUGCGCCAGAAGGGUGAAGGGGUUGCAAUAAACUGGUGGCUGCGACUGUUUAAUAAAAACACAGCACUCUGCAAACACGAAAGUGGACGUAUAGGGUGUGACGCCUGCCCGGUGCUGGAAGAUUAAAUGAUGGGGUGCAAGCUCUUGAUUGAAGUCCCAGUAAACGGCGGCCGUAACAAUAACGGUCCUAAGGUAGCGAAAUUCCUUGUCGGGUAAGUUCCGACCUGCACGAAUGGCGUAACGACUUCCCCACUGUCUCCAGCACAUGCUCAGCGAAAUUGAAUUCUCCGUGAAGAUGCGGAGUACCCGCGGUUAGACGGAAAGACCCCGUGCACCUUUACUGCAGCUUCAGAGUGGCAUUAGGAAAGAACUGUGUAGCAUAGGUGGGAGGCUUUGAAGCAUCGGCGCCAGCCGGUGUGGAGCCAUAGG
rnacentral:rRNA from 1 species